rnacentral:lncRNA from 1 species
CACACAACUCUCACUCGCAACAAGGAUUUGAUAGGAAGUUCUGCAAGUAUUUUGGCGACUACAUCUUGUGGAAAGUAAGGCACGCUUGGUGAUCCAUGCAUUGGCAUCUCCAUAUGUGCGCUUCUCUCCGACAAACCGUGUUUUAGAUCGAGUGACGAGUGUUGAUUGCAUUAGUAAGCACAAGAUAUAGACUAACAAGAAUUCCCUGCUAGUUCUAAUUUAGUUAGGAACGUAGGAUCUUUUACUGUAAACAUAUAUACUAGGAAUGUGAUUAUUCUAAACAUACUAGGAAUGUGAUUAUUUUUUGUUGCCGUGAGAAUUAAAAUGGGACAAUACCCACUAGCCCUAAUUUCAAGAAUUUUAUUCCCACUAACAAAUCAAAUUUUAAAAUUCCCAAGAGUCAAUUUAAACAGCAGAAAGACAAAUAUACCUUUAAUGAAUUAAAUAAACUACAAUAGACCAUUAUAAGAGUCUAUUAUAAAAUAAAGUUUAUAUGACCGUUGACCGGACUCCGACGACCGUUGACCGGGCUCCGGCGACUGUUGACCGGCUCCGACGAAAGCUAGGGGAUCUACUGGGGGCAGUAGGAGGGUCUACUAGGGCAGUAUAAGGGUCUACUAGGGGCAGUAGGAGGUCUGUCCAGGGUACUGGUGCAGUAUGAGGGUCUACUGGGGCAGUAGGGGGUCUACUGGGGUAUUAGGAGGUCUGUCCAGGGUACUGGGGCAGUAUGAGGGUCUACCAGGGCAGUAGGAGGGUCUACUGGGGCAGUAGGGGGUCUAUUCAAGGCAAUAGAGAGUUUGUCAGGAGAUCUAUUGGGGGCAGUAGUGGGUGUGUCGAGGGGUCUAGUGGGGCAGUAGGACCUCUUACUAGGGGUAGUAGGACCACCUAGUGGGGCAGUAGGACCUCCUACUGGGAUUAGUAGGACCUCCUACUGGGGGUAGUAGGACCACCUACUGGGAUCCUACUGACUACUCGAAAUUGAAAAUGAACUGACUACUCGAGGUCGAAAAUGAAGUGAACAAAAAUUGAGCUAACUUGUCGCAAUGCUGACAGUAACGCUUGGUGCAGGCAAGGCAGACUCGGUGCCUCUGGUGAUAGACUUUCAACUCCUCCUCAUCCUCCAUCUCCAUCUCCAUCAUCUUCUCUUCCACCUCCAGGCACGUGCACGGCAUGUGACCUGCCAGAAAGUUGGAGCACGCCAACCUCGGGUCACGCUUCCUUAUCCGCUGCGUCGGGGUCGGGUCGGGAUUUGGGUUCGGGUCCUCCGGCAGGGGGGAGCGGGUUGGGCGGGUCGUCGGAAGCCUAUGCGAUGGACAAGUCAGCAUAUUUCUCCGCCCUCCGCUUCUGCCACGAGAACGGCGUCACUCACCGAGAAGUGAAGUCGCAGAACCUCCUCCUCGACGGCAACGGCGAACUCAGACUCCGAUUUCGUACACAACGCCAGAGGUUCUGUACCGGGUUGGGUACGAUCUGCCUUCUCAUCCACUCCGCCGAUCCCAACGCCUUCGACGACGUGAUUCUGGUGGCGUUGAUGUGCAAAGUCUCCGACGACGUGAAUCAACAGAUUUUGAGAGAGAGAGAGAGAGAGAGAGAGAGAGAGAGAGAGAUACUUACCGAUCGAAGUGGAGUGAGAGAGAGAGAGAGAUAAUUAAACCAGAUCUGAACGUGGGAUGAGAGAGAGAGAGAGGUGGAAAGUCAAUUAGAGAGAAAGAUAAUAGAGGAGGAUAAUUUGGUCACGAAAAAAAAUAUAAAAAGUCAAAAAUUUUGUUAGUGGGAAUAGUUUCUAAGAGUCAAUUGAGUUGAUGGGAAUUUUAGAAUUUUAUUUUGUUAGUGGGAAAAAAAUGUCUAAAUUUAGGGCCAGUGGGAAUUUUCCCAAUUAAAAUUUGCACUCAUUGGUUUACAACCCACACUCAUUCUUUUCUUUCUUUAGUAACGUAAUUUUUUUUUUAGUAUUUAAUGACAUAUGUUUUAUCUCUUUAUAAAAGUUUAACCACAGAGAUUGACCUAUAUUAUCCCUUACCAUAAUGGAGGACCAUAUUCAAAAAUAACAACCAAACGAGGACUUAUCCACACCCAUGACAAAAGUCAAAACUAUAAAUUGAAGUACAUCUAAUGAUUUAAAAGCUAGCUAUAUGUACGAUUGCGCUAGUUAUAUGCAAUCCUCACAUUUGUGUUUGCACUUUUGAGUGUUAGAUUCU